rnacentral:lncRNA from 1 species
CUUUCCUGUUGAUCUAACCUUUUCACCUUUAUAAUGCCAAAGAGAACUUGGAAACUGAAAAAUGCACAAAGGAUGGAUGCUGCAGUGGCUGGUACCUAGGAAAGAUGACACAUUUAAACAAAUGAAGUGGCAGGCAAGCCAACUAUAAUUCUAGACAUGCUAAAAUGCCAUAAAUGCACGAGUUCACUGAUUUAAUUUUUUUUGCUAUGCAUGCAAAUUCAGUAUUUUCUAAAUGCAGAAACAACAUUGAUGGUGAAAAUGUUAAAGAUAACGAUCCUGCUCAAGCUUCUUGACAAAAAAUCAC